UACGUAGGGUGCAAGCGUUGUCCGGAAUUAUUGGGCGUAAAGAGCUCGUAGGCGGUUUGUCGAGUCUGCUGUGAAAAUCCAGGGCUUAACCCUGGACCUGCAGUGGGUACGGGCAGACUAGAGGUAUUCAGGGGAGAACGGAAUUCCUGGUGUAGCGGUGAAAUGCGCAGAUAUCAGGAGGAACACCGGUGGCGAAGGCGGUGCUCUGGGAAGGACCUGACGCUGAGGAGCGAAAGUGUGGGGAGCGAACAGG
rnacentral:rRNA from 1 species